UACAUGUGGGGCAAGCGUUGUUCGGAAUUACUGGGCAUAAAGGGUGCGUAGGUGGCUUGCUAAGUCAGUGGUGAAAUCGUCCGGCCCAACCGGACACGUGCCAAUGAUACUGGUGAGCUUGAGUGCGUGAGGGGUAGGGGGAACGAGCAGUGUAGCGGUGAAAUGCGUAGAUAUUGCUCGGAAGGCCAAAGCCGAAGGGACCCUACUGGUACGUAACUGACACUGAGGCACGAAAAGCGUGGGGAGCAAACAGG
rnacentral:rRNA from 1 species